rnacentral:rRNA from 1 species
UACGUAGGGUGCAAGCGUUGUCCGGAAUUAUUGGGCGUAAAGAGCUCGUAGGCGGUUUGUCGCGUCGAAUGUGAAAACCCGGGGCUCAACCCCGGGCCCGCAUUCGAUACGGGCAGACUAGAGUUCGGUAGGGGAGUCUGGAAUUCCUGGUGUAGCGGUGAAAUGCGCAGAUAUCAGGAGGAACACCGGUGGCGAAGGCGGGUCUCUGGGCCGAUACUGACGCUGAGGAGCGAAAGCGUGGGGAGCGAACAGG